UACAGAGGGCUCAAGCGUUGUUCGGAUUCAUUGGGCGUAAAGGGUGCGUAGGCGGUCGUGCAAGUCGGAUGUGAAAUCUCAGGGCUCAACCCUGAAACUGCAUUCGAUACUGCGCGGCUAGAGUGCUUGAGGGGAGACUGGAAUUUACGGUGUAGCAGUGAAAUGCGUAGAUAUCGUAAGGAAGACCAGUGGCGAAGGCGAGUCUCUGGACAGCAACUGACGCUGAGGCACGAAGGCCAGGGGAGCAAACGGG
rnacentral:rRNA from 1 species